CAGCAGCCGCGGUAAUACAGAGGGUGCAAGCGUUAAUCGGAAUUACUGGGCGUAAAGCGCGCGUAGGUGGUUUGUUAAGUUGGAUGUGAAAGCCCCGGGCUCAACCUGGGAACUGCAUCCAAAACUGGCAAGCUAGAGUACGGUAGAGGGUGGUGGAAUUUCCUGUGUAGCGGUGAAAUGCGUAGAUAUAGGAAGGAACACCAGUGGCGAAGGCGACCACCUGGACUGAUACUGACACUGAGGUGCGAAAGCGUGGGGAGCAAACAGGAUUAGAUACCCCGUAGUCCCUGUCUCUUAUACA
rnacentral:rRNA from 1 species